CAGAAACCCAAAUUUGGCUCUGUCAUUAUCUAUGUAAGGCCGCUACAAAGAGGUCUUAAUAUGGAUCAGGUAAGAGCUUAUUGUUUUUUUCUUUGAUUGUUUCUUAGUGCUGGUAAAUUCUUAUUAUUCAUCCAUCUUCUUUGGUGGGUUUUCAGGGUUCCACAUGUUCAUUCAGCUGUAGUGUAACAUUGCAUUUGCAGUGAAUGACGUGUCUGCUGCAAUUCAUUUAGUAGGUUCCUGGGCUGUCCUUAUCCACUGGGCCCCUGAUGAAGUGCCUCUUUUGUGAGAAAGACUUUUCCUUCUCAGAAAUAAAGUCACAGUGACGGCUGUAGCAGCAGGUAUAGUGUUUUUGUUAAUGUAAUUGGUCAUUGUUAAAUACAGUACAUUAACUAUUUUGAAAGGUUUAUUUGCAGUAAAAUGAUGAAAUAUGCGUAUAGUGGUUUUCAGGAAAUGUUUAUGCUAAUGUAGUCUUACAAAAAUAAAUGUAUUGGUCUCGUUAAAUGUUUUCAAAAUGAAUAAAAGCUGAUUGGCUGUGUUUUGAUGUAAUAUAAUUUAAGUCGUGGUUAUAAUCAUUGUUUUGCUGCACUUCAUGGAUACAUAUGUCAAGUUCUUAUUACCUGUUGUCAUAUACCAAAGGAACUUUUUGAUGAACAUUCUCACAGUGAUCUGACAAUGUGUUGGUCCUGCAUAUGCUUGUGAUCAUUUGUCCUUAAUUGUCUUUGUUUUGCUGUGUCUUCUUAGUUAAUUACUUCAUGUGAAACUUAUGGUUUAAAAUGUAUUGUCUUCAAGGCCUUCAUUUCAGAGCACAGACAGUAGUGUAGUGGAAGGAGUAGGUGAGACUCAGAGUUCAGAGGUGCCCACUGCAACAGUAACUUGUGUGCUGCUGAAUUCUGAUGAGCUGCUACAGGAGUGUAUUCCGGAUAGACCAAGUGAAAUAAUAGACAGCAAUAGGGAUGCAGGAGUAGACAGGGCAGUCUUCGUUGACAGCAGAGAGACUGAGGACGGUUUGUGAAUUAAAUUAUUUGAAUUAAUUUUAUGUGUUGAAUGAAAUAAGCUGACACCUUUCUGUUUUUCAAUGGGUAUGUUUUAUUUCUUUUCAGAAUGUGAAAUCAUGGCAAAUUUGUUCAGGGAGGCUGUAUUGAAGCAGCAUGGAACUGCUAAACCACUCCAUCUAAGAAUGGAUUUGCGAGACAGCAUGGAGAAUAGAGAGAGGGACAUUUUGUCAUUUUAUAAAAUGUCCAAAGUAGAAUGGGCCUGUCCUUUAAAAUGCACACUUGAAGAAAUCACUGACAGAACUUUUAAUGUUUGAAGGAGAACCUGACCAUUUAAUUCCCUCCACAUCUGAGUUCCUUCUCGAGAGUGACAUGUUUCACGUUGCUGGGCGAAUGAUUGGACAUUCUUUCCUGCACAGUGGUCCAAGCUUAGCUGGAUUGAGUCCCGCAAUUAUCCAUGUGUUGCUUGGAGGUGCACCAGAAACCGCCAAUCUGGAGAGUCACGAUUGUCCUGAUAUUGAUGUUCACGAAACUGUCAAAUUAAAGGAGUCCAAAGCAGUUCUCAGUGAAGAAGACACAAGCAUAAUACUGCAAUUGGCAUUAAGCUGGGAUCUUCCAGGGAUGGCAGAAGAAAAUCGGCAUUGGCUAAUGGACAAACUCCUCCUUCACGCUGUUAUUGUAAGAACAACUCGACAGGUUAAACAGCUGAGGAAAGGACUGAAAGAGACAUUGGUCUGGCCUCUCCUGAAGGAAAGAAGUGAUAUUAUUCCACUGAUGUUUCCAAGGGCCUCUGACACACUAUACACCCCCCAGAUGAUCCUUGAAAGAAUCACCUGGCCACACUGAAUGUGGCGGAAGAUGAUGAUGAUGAUGAUGAUGAUGAUGAUGAUGAUGAUGACUGUUCUCUUGAGCCUAAAUGCCGUAUCACAGGCUUCUUCAGGACAUUCAUUGAAACGCAUCACCAAGAGUGCUGAUUGAUCUCCUCAGAUUCUGGGUUGGAUGGGAGGUCCUCCCGAAGGAGCUGUCUGUUGAGGUCACAGAUACCAAACUGCCCAAAGCAUCCACCUGCUUCGAAACCAUUAAAUUACCCAGACACGACUUUCACUACUCAUCAUUUGAGGAGGAUCUUCUUUCCUGUAUACAUACUGUGGACACCGGCUUUGGACUUGUCUAAUUUAGAAUUCCGCCAUGAGAAAUCUGUUUGAACUCCUUCAGGGGCCAAUUAAAAUAUACAACAUAAUUGAUUUGACAACUAGAAAUAUAACAUGACAAAGUAAAAAAAAAAACAUCCAGGUUAAUGUUCUGCUAUAUUAUUAUUAUUAUUAUUAUUAUUAUUAUUAUUAUUAUUAUUAUUAUUAUUAUUAUUAUUUAUUUCUUAGCAGAUGCCAUUAUCCAGGGCGACUUACAGUUGUAAACAAAAAUACAUUUCAGGAAUCACAGUACAAGUAAUAAUACAAUUAUGUAAAUACUAAAUGUACUAAGAAAGAAAUUCAAAUGAACGACUGGCAAUUUUAUUAGGCCAUUUUAUUAUUUUGAUUACAAUAAAUAAUGCACUGAUUCUCAAAAUGUUUCUUUUUUUGGGGGGGGGGGGGGAACAACACUUUUUUUUUUCUUUUAAAAUACUUGCUUAUGUUUGUGAAAACAUCUGUUAAAUAUCAACAUAAGCACAGGUACUAUUGUCAUUUAUUUAACAAAGUCAGUGCUAUGCAGACUCAGUGACAAAAAAUACAGCUGUCCCAAACAAUAAAAACAAUCGUCAAA